UAAAACCAGCACCUCAAGUGGUCAGGAUGAUUAUUGGGCCUAAAGCAUCCGUAGCCUACUCUGUAAGUUUUCGGUUAAAUCUGUGUGCUUAACAUACAGGCCGCCGGAAAUACUGCAGGGCUAGGGAGUGGGAGAGGUAGACGGUACUCGGGAGGAAGUGGUAAAAUGCUUUGAUCUUUCGAUGACCACCUGUGGCGAAGGCGGUCUACCAGAACACGUCCGACGGUGAGGGAUGAAAGCUGGGGGAGCAAACCGGAUUAGAUACCCGGGUAGUCCCAGCCGUAAACUAUGCAAACUCAGUGAUGCAUUGGCUUUUGGCCAAUGCAGUGUUGCAGGGAAGCCGUUAAGUUUGCCGCCUGGGAAGUACGUACGCAAGUAUG
rnacentral:rRNA from 2 species